UUUUUGAGAGGUUUCUUUCAAAUAAUUGUCUUUUCUGAUCGAAUUUUAGCCCAGAAUCCCUUAUCUAUGGAGAUUCUCUAACUUUUGAGAUCUAAUUUGUGGGUUUCAGCUCCUGAAUCGGGGUUUCUGCUCUCCAGUUCGGGUUUUUUGAAACGUUUCUUUUGGUUUGCUCGUUUUUAAAGGAGAUUCUUUUGAUUUGAGAACUUAAAUGAGGAUCUGCACUUGCUUUUUUUCUUUUUUUUCCUUCUCGGUUUUGAGAGGAUUCAAAUGCCGAGAUUUCAAUGGAUUUUGCGGGAGUUUGGGAAAUUUUAAUGCAGUUCCUGUUUCUGGAAAGAUAAUGUCUAGUAAUGGUUUAAGAAAGCGUGGGUUUGGAGGAUUUUGUGUUUGGAAAUUGCUGAUUUCCACAGUUGAAUUAAGGUAUUUUUUUUCUCUGUUUCUGCUUGGAAUUUAGCUUCAGAUCUUCUUUGAUGGAAUAUUUUUCAUUUUUCGAUCUUGUUUUAGGUGGGAUAUAUGAAUCUUUACUGUUUUAUUUGUUUUGACGAACAAAAAAAAAAGAUCAUAGAAUUAGCAAAAUUUAUAAUGUGAUUUCCAAGUUUAAGAAAAUGUGGCGAGGAUUUGAGUAAUGUUUUAAAUUUUCACUGCAUUUGAAUGAUUUACUACUGCUAUAUUGUAGGUUUAGCUCCAACAUCUGGUUGCAGGAAUUAGCCUUUUGGGAUGCUUGUUGAUGUCAUGAUACUUGUUUACUUCUGCUUGAAAUUUGGCUUUGAAUUCACCCAAUGGAUAUGCUCUUUCUUUUUCUACUUUUUUUGAGAUAAUGUUUUUGCAUAAGGACACAUUGAUUAAAAAAGGAAACGCACAGCUGAACCAUUUUUAUGCAUUCACUGCUAAGAAUCAUCCAAUCUUAUAAGAGUUAGUGAGAGUUAACAACUACAAUGCCUUCUGUUUAUGGUUAUUUAAUGGUGAGCUGAUCUGAGUAAUCAUUUGAGAAAUGCAGGUUCGGGGUUGGACGUUCACAAUAUUUGCUGGAUCAUGAAAUUUUUGACGAGAAGAAAAGAACUGAUGAAAGAAAAGAAGUGUGAUGUUUCUUCUAGAUGACCUACUCUUGUUAAAGGUGUAGAUUGGUGUGGGUUUUCAUGAGCUUGGAGUGGGUUUCGGUUUGUCUUCCAGAGCAUGAUACCUGAUAAAUUUCUAUUGCAUUGCCAGGAAAUGUCAGGUUGCCUGGCAUUUAAGUGUGUUAGUGUAAAUUGCCAAUUUGAUGGGCUACCACAUGGAUUGUAGAUGGCCAGAGCUCAGAAAGCAAGUUGAUUGCCUGUCAUGGUCAUCCUUUUAGUGGCCUAAAAAAUGAGAGCACUUGUGUAUGGCAACCGAGACUAUCAGCUUGGUGGCUACCACAUGGAUCAUGGAUGGCUGGACCUCAGAAUGUAAGUCGAUCAGACUCAUAGUCAUCUGAUUAGUUGCCUAAAAGGGAGAUGGUUAGCUCAAAUAAUGAGCAGCAGUCUCCAUUCAGCUGCAAAACUCGCAACAAUUGGAUGGUCAGAGACGUUUAGUCGCUGUAAAAAUUUAGACGGAGAGUAUGUCGAGUUUUCUCAGCGUCGUUUUCGUCGAUCCUAGGAGAGUCGUCGGUUGAUUCAGAAACAUCCGGCUGUAAUUCCACUCUGUCGGUCAAUUUUUCGCUGUUUUUACAAUACACGAAGCGGUUGUCGAGGUCGAGCUCGCAUCUGGAAUUUGGAGCAUCUGAUGGAAUUGAAGACGAAUACUCUGACGAAUUUACAGUCAGAUCUUCAAUUUCCAUAAAAUUUCUUAAUUUUUUUAGUUGUUUUGUAUUUAUAUUGUCUAAAUUGAUAUUGUAAUUUUUAGCUUUUGAGGUUCGAAAAUGAAGAGCAUGAAGAGAGCUACAAAAAGCUCAGGAACAGGGAGAGGAGACACGAGUAUCGGCACGACUAUGCCGAGGAAUACGGCCCGACAACAGAGUACGGAGAUGUCGUGCUCCAGCAGCAGCUGCUGAUGGUGAACUGGAUAAUCGAGGUAGCAAUGGCCUAGAAAAGAUUAAUUCAUGAUCUUUCUUGUACCAGAAGGGCAGGGACUGGCACUACUGCAGAUAUGAUCGGGCAGUUUAGAAAAUUGCUACGUUAGGAAGGAAGAUUUGUUAAUAUUUUCUCUUCAACAUCAUUUUAGCAUGACUAACCAAUUGU